GACGAACGCUGGCGGCGUGCUUAACACAUGCAAGUCGAACGAAGUGGCGAACGGGUGAGUAACACGUGGGUGACCUGCCCUGCACAUCGGGAUAAGCCUGGGAAACUGGGUCUAAUACCGGAUAGUGUGGGAGGGGGCGGCGGCCUAUGAGCUUGUUGGUGGGGUAAUGGCCUAGCAAGGCGGCGACGGGUAGCCGGCCUGGGAGGGUGGACGGCCACAUUGGGCCUGGGAAACGGCCAAGACUCCUACUGGAGGCAGCAGUGAGGAAUAGUGGACAAUGGGCGGAAGUCUGAAGCAGGGACGCCGGGUGGGAGAUGACGGCCUUCGGGUUGUAAACGCCUUUCACCAUCGACGCGGUAGAUGAAGAAGAAGCACCGGCUAACUACGUGCCAGCAGCCGCGGUAAUUC
rnacentral:rRNA from 1 species